rnacentral:ncRNA from 2 species
UACAAUGCGCUUCAUCGAGGUUCCCGGGAGAUCAUCCCCGGGAUGAAAAGGGAAGCCGGUGCGCAUCCGGGAAGGUCGCCUCAAGGCCUUUCGCUCAGGGUGCAAUGCCGGCGCUGCCCCCGCAACUGUAGGCGGUGAGCAAGGCUGGAAGGGGUCCGCACGGACUCUUCCUGAACCACUGGACCCAUGGGGUCUGGGAAGGUUCCAGCCACGCAAGGACCCGCAAGCCAGGAGACCUGCCCCGAUAGCCGCCGAAAG